rnacentral:rRNA from 1 species
GAGUAACACGUGGAUAACCUACCUAUAAGACUGGGAUAACUUCGGGAAACCGGAGCUAAUACCGGAUAAUAUUUUGAACCGCAUGGUUCAAAAGUGAAAGACGGUCUUGCUGUCACUUAUAGAUGGAUCCGCGCUGCAUUAGCUAGUUGGUAAGGUAACGGCUUACCAAGGCAACGAUGCAUAGCCGACCUGAGAGGGUGAUCGGCCACACUGGAACUGAGACACGGUCCAGACUCCUACGGGAGGCAGCAGUAGGGAAUCUUCCGCAAUGGGCGAAAGCCUGACGGAGCAACGCCGCGUGAGUGAUGAAGGUCUUCGGAUCGUAAAACUCUGUUAUUAGGGAAGAACAUAUGUGUAAGUAACUGUGCACAUCUUGACGGUACCUAAUCAGAAAGCCACGGCUAACUACGUGCCAGCAGCCGCGGUAAUACGUAGGUGGCAAGCGUUAUCCGGAAUUAUUGGGCGUAAAGCGCGCGUAGGCGGUUUUUUAAGUCUGAUGUGAAAGCCCACGGCUCAACCGUGGAGGGUCAUUGGAAACUGGAAAACUUGAGUGCAGAAGAGGAAAGUGGAAUUCCAUGUGUAGCGGUGAAAUGCGCAGAGAUAUGGAGGAACACCAGUGGCGAAGGCGACUUUCUGGUCUGUAACUGACGCUGAUGUGCGAAAGCGUGGGGAUCAAACAGGAUUAGAUACCCUGGUAGUCCACGCCGUAAACGAUGAGUGCUAAGUGUUAGGGGGUUUCCGCCCCUUAGUGCUGCAGCUAACGCAUUAAGCACUCCGCCUGGGGAGUACGACCGCAAGGUUGAAACUCAAAGGAAUUGACGGGGACCCGCACAAGCGGUGGAGCAUGUGGUUUAAUUCGAAGCAACGCGAAGAACCUUACCAAAUCUUGACAUCCUUUGA